GCCGCUCCUCAUCAGACUUGUGCUCCAGACCCCUCACCAGCCUCGUUGCCCUUCUCUGGACACGCUCCAGCACCUCGCUGUCCUUCUUGUAGUGAGGGUCCCAAAACUUAA